rnacentral:rRNA from 1 species
CUAAUACCGGAUAACACUCUGUCCCGCAUGGGACGGGGUUAAAAGCUCCGGCGGUGAAGGAUGAGCCCGCGGCCUAUCAGCUUGUUGGUGGGGUAAUGGCCUACCAAGGCGACGACGGGUAGCCGGCCUGAGAGGGCGACCGGCCACACUGGGACUGAGACACGGCCCAGACUCCUACGGGAGGCAGCAGUGGGGAAUAUUGCACAAUGGGCGAAAGCCUGAUGCAGCGACGCCGCGUGAGGGAUGACGGCCUUCGGGUUGUAAACCUCUUUCAGCAGGGAAGAAGCGAAAGUGACGGUACCUGCAGAAGAAGCGCCGGCUAACUACG